GACACCUGAUGCUGGUGCUAAGCCCUCUAGCCCUCAGGGCUUUGACGGGGACAAAUUCUUGUUGUUUGCUCAUCUGACUCACUCUCAGACCCACAACAGGAGGAGGACAGCAAGGGUUAAACCGGCCUGGCAGGAUUUAUGCCCUACCAGGACACUCAUUUGCUGAUUGAACUUGUUAAGAUGUGCAUGGAUGUCAGUACAAGAGGAAGGAAACUCCUUGGAGGAAAGCUUCAGGUCCUGAACUCCAUAUGAGAAACAGCGAAAUAACUUGGAUCUUUAGUUUCUGGACUGGAAUGCUACAUUUUCCCAGCUGGUGCUUCAAUAUAACAGUUAACAGGAGGGUAUCAAGCAGAACACAGGCCAUUGCACCUACGGGAUACACCUCACUUACGGACAUUUUUACAUCUUAUAGUUCAUCAGGUGAAGAACAUGUGUUUGUCAUCACUGCUAUGAAUUUAGUGGAAACAGAAAUGAACUACAAUAUGUAAGCUUGACAUUAUUAUAAAAAUACACUCAAAAAACACAA